AGAGUUUGAUCCUGGCUCAGAUUGAACGCUGGCGGCAGGCUUAACACAUGCAAGUCGAACGGUAACAGAACUAGCUUGCUAGUUGCUGACGAGUGGCGGACGGGUGAGUAACGCGUAGGAAUCUACCGAGUAGUGGGGGACAACAGUUGGAAACGACUGCUAAUACCGCAUAAUCCCUGAGGGGGAAAGGAGGGGAUCUGUUUACAGACCUUUCGCUAUUUGAUGAGCCUGCGUGAGAUUAGCUAGUUGGUGAGGUAACGGCUCACCAAGACCGCGAUAGGUAGGGGUCCUGAGAGGGAGAUCCCCCACACUGGUACUGAGACACGGACCAGACUCCUACGGGAGGCAGCAGUGAGGAAUAUUGGACAAUGGAGGCAACUCUGAUCCAGCCAUGCCGCGUGCAGGAAGACUGCCCUAUGGGUUGUAAACUGCUUUUAUACAGGAAGAAACCUUGGUACGUGUACCAAGCUGACGGUACUGUAAGAAUAAGGAUCGGCUAACUCCGUGCCAGCAGCCGCGGUAAUACGGAGGAUCCAAGCGUUAUCCGGAAUCAUUGGGUUUAAAGGGUCCGCAGGCGGUCUUUUAAGUCAGAGGUGAAAUCCUAUCGCUCAACGAUAGAACUGCCUUUGAUACUGAAAGACUUGAGUUAUUGUGAAGUGGUUAGAAUAUGUAGUGUAGCGGUGAAAUGCAUAGAUAUUACAUAGAAUACCGAUUGCGAAGGCAGAUCACUAACAAUACACUGACGCUGAGGGACGAAAGCGUGGGUAGCGAACAGGAC
rnacentral:rRNA from 1 species